rnacentral:rRNA from 1 species
AUACGUAGGGUGCGAGCGUUAAUCGGAAUUACUGGGCGUAAAGCGUGCGCAGGUGGUUUUGUAAGUCAGAUGUGAAAUCCCCGGGCUUAACCUGGGAACUGCGUUUGAAACUGCAAGGCUAGAGUGUGGCAGAGGGGGGUGGAAUUCCGCGUGUAGCAGUGAAAUGCGUAGAGAUGUGGAGGAACACCGAUGGCGAAGGCAGCCCCCUGGGUCAACACUGACGCUCAGGCACGAAAGCAUGGGGAGCAAACAGGAUUAGAUACCCCGGUAGUCC